CCCACCAAGUGCAGCGGGACCUGGAGCUGGGCACAGGGGCCUUAGGAAUGGACAGGUGGUCUCCAGGAGCUUGGGGCGACAGUGCGGUGCUGAGCAGGGCUGAAAUAAUGCUGCCCCAUCUCUGAGGACCCCAUGCUGAUGGGUACAAUGACCCUGGAUGAGGAAUAACAGGUGCCCUUGGGGAGCGCCAGGGAGCUGCCCCUGGUGUGGAGAGAGGACAGAGUGUCUUAGUCCUGGCUGCUCUCGCUGGAGGGAUCCAGUCCACUAGCCCAGGCUAAGGGGAAGGGCUGAGGGAGCCCCGGGCUCUGGUCCCUUGGGCUGGCCUGGCCUGGCCUGGCCUGGUCGGGCCCCACGGGGAGGGCUGCACUGCUCCCUGACUCUUCACACUGCCCAGAAGGGCCCUUUGCCCAAGAGUAUCAGCUGUGUGACUGCAGCAGAGGGUGGCCAGAGGUCUGGCCAGGCUGGGGCCACCUGAGAACUGAGGCUCUUGCCCCCUCCCCCACCCCUGGGCCGGCCUCCGGAAGGGAGGGCUGGAGAGAGUAGGCUGGAGGGCUGCUCCAAGAGCUCUUGAAACCUAGAGCAAGGGUCAGGCUCAGGAGUCAGAAGUGAGUCAUUCCAAACCAGGAGGCCUAGGGUAUCCCAGGCUGAAUCAAGCGCUCCUGAUGGCUGUUGCGGUGCUGGCCGUUCCCCUGCGUGGCCUGAUAGACCUCUCCCAGCCUGCUGACCAUGUGUGCCACGCCCGACUUUAUAGGUCCCCCAGGACGAGCUCCGCCAGUGUCACCCCGCUGUGCCGCUGGACCGCCUCGUUCACACCUGCAGCCCUGACUCGGGAUCCCCGCGGCCAGCAGCCUCGCCCACGCCUGCGCCCGGUGUGUCUGACGGCACCUCCACUUCUCGCGUCCCGCGGAGCCUCACGUUUCCCUGCCUCAGGCCUUCCUCCGCAGGCUUCCGUCUCAGCCCUCCUUCCCUGGGUCCCACCUGGACUGCUCCCUUUCCCACAUGUCAUUCUCUCUGCCCCCCACAUGUACCCUGAAUCUGGGUACUUUUCUCCCUCUCCGGUGCCUUACUCUUAACCCAAGCCACUGUCAUCUCCACCUAGGCUCCUGGAGCAAUAGUAAAUAAUUACAAUAUUUAUUGGUUUACCAGGGACUCUGCUAAGCAUUUCAUCUGUAUCAGCCUGUUUAAUCCUCACCACAACCCUGUGAGCUGGACACUAUCUUUGCUUACAGAUAGGGAAACUGAGACACAGAGAGGUUAAGCGAUUUGCGCAAGCUCACACAGCUGUUAGGAGGAUGUUCCAGGAUUCAAACCCUGGCAGUUUGGCCCUGGUGACCCACAGAGUGCUGUCUGGCUUCUCAUGCAGGGCAGAGAAGGUCAGAGCUGGGCUCCUCCCAGGCACCUGUGGUGGAAGGAGGAAAGGGGAAAGAGACACGGUGGCCCAAGGGAUCUAGGAAGCAAAGUGGGAGUUGGGAAUCUGUGACCUUGGACUUAGUGUGGUUUCCUAUGGUGACAAGGACAGAAGUGGCAGAGGAGGUGGGGAAUGUAUGGCCAAGAUGGGCAGAGGGAAAGAUCACUGGACAGAGAGGACCUCAGUUCCAGAUCUUGUAGAUAAGCCCUGUUCCACAGACCUACCCUCUUCAGCCUCCUCUUGGGUCCAAAGACACCUUCAUCCUACGCUCUGUCUGCACCCAGUCCCAUCAGAUCAUGCUUGUCGCCUGCCCACUCACCUGCUUGUGCCCUGGGACAGCCUGUGUCUGCCACCUGUGGCUGUGUGCGUGUGCUCCGUGACAGUGCCUGCCCAAGUGCCUGGGGAGGCGCUGGUUGCCUGGGCUUCAUCUUAGGCCUCUCCUGGGGUGCAGAACCUGGAAGCAGGGUUGGGGGAGCCCCAGGGCUGCUGACGCCUGGAACCUGCUCCUGGAGAGACCCAGGAGCUCGGAGGGCGAUUCCCACAGACCCAGGGAAGGGAGGCCGCCAGGUAGGCUGGGACAGGAGGGAACGCUCCAUCCUUACUCUCCAAGCCAAUGUGCUGAAUUUUACUUUUCCUUUUAUUUAUUUCUUCUUCUUAAAUCCUGU
rnacentral:lncRNA from 1 species